rnacentral:snoRNA from 1 species
GCUACAUGAUGAUCAGAUCGAAUUUGCAAUUCUGACAAUCACCAAUUACAUGUGAGAUUGUCUGUUGACUCUACUACACUUGAUCUGACC